rnacentral:rRNA from 1 species
UGGGGAAUUUUGGACAAUGGGCGAAAGCCUGAUCCAGCAAUGCCGCGUGUGUGAAGAAGGCCUUCGGGUUGUAAAGCACUUUUGUCCGGAAAGAAAUCCUUGGCUCUAAUACAGUCGGGGGAUGACGGUACCGGAAGAAUAAGCACCGGCUAACUACGUGCCAGCAGCCGCGGUAAUACGUAGGGUGCAAGCGUUAAUCGGAAUUACUGGGCGUAAAGCGUGCGCAGGCGGUUUGCUAAGACCGAUGUGAAAUCCCCGGGCUCAACCUGGGAACUGCAUUGGUGACUGGCAGGCUAGAGUAUGGCAGAGGGGGGUAGAAUUCCACGUGUAGCAGUGAAAUGCGUAGAGAUGUGGAGGAAUACGAUGGCGAAGGCAGCCCCCUGGGCCAAUACUGACGCUCAUGCACGAAAGCGUGGGGAGCAAAACAGGAUUAGAUACCCUGGUAGUCCACGCCCUAAACGAUGUCAACUAGUUGUUGGGGAUUCAUUUCCUUAGUAACGUAGCUAACGCGUGAAGUUGACCGCCUGGGGAGUACGGUU